UAAAGUGCUCCCAGAGCUGGUUCCUCA
rnacentral:piRNA from 1 species